ACAGGGUAAUAAAUCAAGCUUGGUUAAGGAAAAAUAAUAAGUCUGUUCUCCAGAUAUUGAUAGAAAACAAUCUCCCAAGAUGUAAGUGGAAAAAAUAUGUAGAAAAAUGUGUAUAAAAUGUUUCUAUUUGUGAAGAACAAAGGAAGGAGGGUAAGAGAAAGAGGCAGAAAGAGGAAGAGAGAGAGGGGAAAGAGAGGGGAAGAUUGAAUAGGCAUAUACACUUAUAUGUGCAUAGAAUAUCUCAGUAAACAAGAAACACCUAACACUGAAUACCUGGAGGAGAGGAAUUAGAAGGAAUAGAAUGAAUUUUUUUUACCUUCUAUCCUUUCAUGUUUAAAAAGAAGUUUACUGUGCUCAUUAUGUUUUCAAUUAAUAAAAAUUAAGCCAAAUAAUUAAAAGAACAAAAGUGCAUGUAACAAAUUAGCAUUGUCUUGAAACUUGACAUAAAGUCCUUUUCGGAUAUUUUAUAUUUUAGUGGAAAACUCAUUCCAAGUCAGAAAGUAUGAAACCAGAACACCAUUGUUCUUACAAAAUGACUCAAAAUCAUCAUCCAAUUGGAGUAUUUUCAUAGGAAAGGAAAGUUGUUUUUUGUAAUUUUCAUGUGUUACAUUCCUUUUCACCUCAAUUUUUACAGGAAACUUCAAAUACAAUUUCUGACUAUCCUCCACAGUCAAUUGCGAGGCAUUAGACAAUUAUGAACUGACUGAGAUUGCAUCAUUGAAAAUUUCACCAAAAACAAAAUUUAGCAAAGGGUAGAACUGAACGGGUUAGGUUGUAAAACACAACUGGUCUGUGGCAACAUUCCCCAUGUGGGUUUAUUCUCAUCACCUGGUUAAUUGACUUAAAAAGUAAAAAAGUGUGGGGAGAAACAGUAAAGCUAUAAGAUUGUAUCAUAUAAAUUGAAAGGUUGCUUUUACUUUUGAUGGAAUGUUUUCUUUUACUGAACUCAGCCUAACUAGUUUGCCAGUAAAUUCUCAAAGCUGGUUUGGGACUGCCUCAGUAGUUUCUUUAUCCAUUAUUGCAAUAAUCUUCCACAGUCAGGUUAAGGAUGAAAAAGGAAGAAGAGUAGGAAAGGGGUCCAGGAAGAGAAGCCAGACAUGAAAGUUCCCAAGGAGACUGAAAUCACAACAUGUCCAAUGAAGAGGAUAAAGUUCAAUGGGGAUUGAGCCUAGACCCUGAUCCUCCAUUUCUGCAUCUUUCAAGUAAGUAUGAUGAUUUCUGCUCUGCCUGUCUUGUAAACUUGCUGUAAAGAACUGAGAAAAUAUAGUGAAAGAAACUUCACCCUGCACUCUUCAAAUAUAAUGCAGAAUUAAGACUCAAUUAAAAUGUAACAUCAAUUAUGUCUGAUUCCCAUAAAUAUGCUACUGCAUUGAGAAAAAUAAUAUCAUUUAUUUUCAUAUUACAGCUACUUAUUAUAAAUAUUUAGUAGAAAGCAGAAAGUCACCCUGCUCAUGCUAAAUAAUCUCAACUUCAACAGAGUUUUGUCAGUCACUUCUAAUAAGACCUCAGCCAAGGAGCUGCCUUUUUAAUCACUUUGAAAGAGAAAGCGAUCAGAAUGUCUUUCCCACGUUUAUCCCACAGUAACAUUUUACCCCCAGAAUACAUGGUAUUGGUCUUUGAUGAAUCACUUCUUUUUUAAACCUAGAAAAUA
rnacentral:lncRNA from 10 species